rnacentral:rRNA from 1 species
UACGUAGGGUGCGAGCGUUGUCCGGAAUUAUUGGGCGUAAAGGGCUCGUAGGCGGUCUGUCACGUCGGGAGUGAAACCCAGGGCUCAACCCUGGGCCUGCUUCCGAUACGGGCAGACUAGAGGUAUGCAGGGGAGAAUGGAAUUCCUGGUGUAGCGGUGAAAUGCGCAGAUAUCAGGAGGAACACCGGUGGCGAAGGCGGGUCUCUGGGCCGAUACUGACGCUGAGGAGCGAAAGCGUGGGGAGCGAACAGG